GGGAGGAGAAGAGGAAAGGCGGGCAGGGGGGUGGAGAGCGGGCCGGAGAACGUGGACGGGUUGGGGAAAGGAGUAGCCAGGUCCAGACAAAGUUGUGCUGUAAAUGUGCUGACGAGACGAAGUAGCAGUAGAGACAGUGAUUGCCACAAAAAUCAUUCAUGAAAGAGAUGAAGACAUCCUAUGUGAUCCUCUCUUCUUUUGAAAUAAUACCACCAAGAUUUGAUCCUAUGAGUGAUAGAGCUCAGAAAGAGCUAGGCCGCUGAGCCUUGACCACAGUUAUCUCUCAUGGACACCUGGAAGCUUCUCCAAAUGUCUAGUAGAAAUUCCUAUUAUAUUUUAUACUGUAGCAGUGCUGGUGCUGAGACCACCACCUUGUGAGAAAAGUUCUCUUAAAGCACAAGUGACAACAUUCCAGAAACUGCACUUGAUUGUUAUAGAAAGACUCAGCCACCGGAUAUCCUCCCAACCAGUGACUGGAUACAGGGCCAUUUGAGAGUCAAGUGACUAGUUUCUUAAACCCUAUUCACGCCAAUCUUAAAUUAUAGCCAACCUACGAAAAUUGAAUACCACUCAUUUCACCAAGGAGAGCCUGUUUCUACCAUUCAUUAUGCUAAUUAACAAAUCAUUUAUUUUGUCAGUAAAAAUCUGUAUCUGCCAUUCAGGAUGCAAAUUAGAAAAUAACUGGUGUUUUUCAAAGACAUGAAUACAGAAGCACUUGUAGUCUCUGAGGUUGCCUUUUUGGUGUAUGUUUGCCACCCAUGCCAAACCAUGAAUUCUUUCUUUAUUUAUUAUUUUAAAUUUAUUUUAAUUGGAGGCUAA